rnacentral:rRNA from 1 species
GACGAACGCUGGCGGCGUGCUUAACACAUGCAAGUCGAACGGAAAGGCCCUGCUUUUGUGGGGUGCUCGAGUGGCGAACGGGUGAGUAACACGUGAGUAACCUGCCCUUGACUUUGGGAUAACUUCAGGAAACUGGGGCUAAUACCGGAUAGGAGCUCCUGCUGCAUGGUGGGGGUUGGAAAGUUUCGGCGGUUGGGGAUGGACUCGCGGCUUAUCAGCUUGUUGGUGGGGUAGUGGCUUACCAAGGCUUUGACGGGUAGCCGGCCUGAGAGGGUGACCGGCCACAUUGGGACUGAGAUACGGCCCAGACUCCUACGGGAGGCAGCAGUGGGGAAUAUUGCACAAUGGGCGGAAGCCUGAUGCAGCAACGCCGCGUGCGGGAUGACGGCCUUCGGGGUGUAAACCGCUUUCGCCUGGGACGAAGCGUGAGUGACGGUAAUGGGUAAAGAAGCACCGGCUAACUACGUG